rnacentral:lncRNA from 1 species
AUGCGCAAGGAGGGGAAAAGAGGGGUGCUGGAGGGAGGAAUCGGGAGUGGAGGGAGGCAGCAGGACACAGCGCCCGGCGGCCACAGACACCCCACUCUUUUCCCCCACCCCGGGACGCGCUCCCCGGGGGAGGAGAGGACGGAAGAAGCGCUGAGACCCUCAGCCCUCCGGGUAGUUCGGAACCAGGUUGACCCGUCCGAGCUGGAAGGGCGCAUCCUGGGGUUGGGAAGGGGGUGUCCGACGGAUGAGGAGGGCGAUACCCGGGACUCGAGACCGCCCACCCACGAGAGGGGUGCGCGCCAGCCAGUCCCGCGCUCCAGCCUUCGGCCCCUGGCCGGGAACUUGCCCUCGGGCCCGUCCCAGGUGCUCACCGCGGGCCGCUCCAGCCUCUCCGCGCUCUCCGCCGUCCUCCGCGCGCACGGGCCGGGGGCCCGCAGACGCUCGGCCCCGCAGCGCUGUCUGAUCAGGGUCAGCGCCGGCUCCGCGCCCGCGCCCGCGCCCCGCGCCAGCCGCACGCUAACUUUCCGGCGGCGGCGACGCUGGGCGGCGGCGGAGNNNNNNNNNNNNNNNNNNNNNNNNNNNNNNNNNNNNNNNNNGCGGCGGCCGAGGGUCCCCGCCUGCUGCUCCGAGCCCCUGCCCGCGCCUCCGCGCUCCUGCCGCGGCCGCGGGGAGCGACUCGCCGCCCCGGAGCCCCUGCCCGACAGACCCCUCCCUGCGCGCCGGUGCCGGCACCUGCCUCGCGGACUCCUAUACUGCGGGACUUUCCCCGAGGGCGCCGCCCCGCAGACCUCCCCACCCAGAGCUCAGUGGGGAGACCCCCGCCCGGGGAACCCGGGCGGGCCGAUUGCAGCUCCCAGCCGGGAAUGGAGCGGUGGACGGACAGUUCCCUGUGUACCACCCGGGUCUCCUGGUGUUCACACUGCUAGAUGCCCAGAGCCACAUCAGGACCCCUCUCCACUGGCCCGCUGCCAUUUCCUGGAUGCACUUCCUCGGCCCACCCACCAGCUGGACACCCGGCCGGGAUCCUGA